CUCACUUUUAGUGUUUUUAUGUAAUUUUUCCUUUGAGAGGCAAUUUAUUCUUGCAAGGUCCGAUUACAAUUGGGCUUCCUGUGGUCGAGAGGGGUACUUGGUCUACCCAUAAUUCUCUGGUUUGGAUUUUCGGGCCUUUUCACGGUUUCAGCCAUCUUGCUUGUUCACUCGACGAGACGAGGUCAAGUUCGGUUGGGUUCUCGUACGAAUUUCUCUCCUGAAACCAAAAACUACAUCGCACUCAUCAGCAAAGAAAGUAGCAAAUGUCAGUGAGUUGAUACUGGUAGAGAGAAGGAUGACAUUUUUAAAUACCCGCGAAGGUUUAUUGAAUAUGCAACAAACAACAGCAUGUUCGACCCGAGAAAAGAUUCUUCAUUGCCAAACAGUCACACCACAGGACAAACAGACCAAGGGUACUGUAUUCAGGAUUACUGGCUCCAUCCCAGCUGGUAACUACAUCCAGUUUCCAUGCACCAGCUCCCAGACGCUAGGGCUGACAGGUUGAUACAUCUACACCAUGUUUAAACCUAUUCCCACAAAAAACUUUGUGGUUCACUUGGAUGUUGCGACGGAGGAUGGUUUGGCUGUAAGAGUGUCUCUCUCCAACCUCUUCUAAGAGUUGAAGUCGACGCCCACAUGGCUCCAGUUUCCAUUUGUCUCUAACCCAUCUCCUAACUCUGUUGAGGCAGUUACCUCCUCUAAGGCUUCAGUAUCAAGACCUUGCCGAAGAGAGAAAAAAGCCCAAUUCCAAAUGAUCAAGCUUAUAGUGGCCAACAAAGCUUCCAAAUCCCGAGUAAAUCAACACACAAUGUACAGCAAUACUAAGUGAGUAUAUUGUCUUAGAGUGGUUUUUCAUAAUCCUGUGCAACAAAAUGUAUUUGUUAAAGUGUAAUAGUCAAGCCAGAACAAAA